CCAGAGGUGCCGUGAGCCGCGUGGCGUUGGCGCGGCGGGAGCGCGCUGCUAAGCGUGGAGGAUUGGCGAGGCGCGAAACAGAGCUCCUCAUCUCCGCGCGUCGUAACUGUGAGGGCUGAGCUCUGCCUUAAUGCCCGUUUGCCUUUUCGUUGCCAGUAGGCUUUGUUUAAAAUCAAAACGCACAAGUACUCCAGAGCUCCUCAAGCCUGACUUCCCGGUUCGUUAGAGCUAAGCUUAGUUGCCUAAUUGAUCCCAGUUACUCGAGUGAUACACCUUAUUUCUUUCUCCUCCAGGAAAGCGCGUUCAGCUUCCGACUGCUCGUGAUCCCUGUUGGGGGAAAACUGACUGAAGUGACGUAGUGCUGUCUGAUCUCUUGUUUUCUGUCAUCCUGGGGAAAAAACUACCAGGAGGUGUCCAAGUGGUUACCUGGCGAAGCUUAAAUACUAAUGGUUGCCAAACUGCGUGUGCAAGUAAUAGCGUCUGAAGCCAUUCUUACUCUCCUUAAAAGAAGCCUUAAUUAUAGAGUGGCAAAGGCCUGACAAAACACUUAUUCAUCUCCUUCAAAUGGAGUUCCACAUUUCCUCUUUGGGUUAUGAAGGUGAGUAGGGUUUUUUUUUGUUUGUUUGUUUGUUUUGUUUUUGUUCAGUUUUGAGUAACAAGAUGAAUAAAACUGCAUUGGGCUCAGUGCUCUUAUGUCUUUGUCUUUAGAGGUGACACUUGGCAGUUGUCUGAAAAAUUUGCUAAACAAUUUUACAGCCUCUAGAGAAGAAUUCAGGUGCUACUUCCAUGAAUGAACUUCUGUGAACACAUCUUCCAUCUCCUAGGACAGUGCUCUAGCUGAAUGCUUAUAGAUUUUACUAGAUAAAUUAGUAAAGACCCUAAUUUUUUUUUUUUAAACCGUUUCCAACUGGCAUAAAAAUACUGUUUUUAAGAUGAGUUUCGUAAGUCUUUGGAAUAAUUUGUAGUACUGAGUUCCUGCAAUAGUAGGAUAGUAGUCGUAACUCAGGAAGUCCAUUUCAAUCCUGAAUUGUUGACUAGAGACUUGAGGAAGAAAACAAACAGGAUAGAGCUCUUCAACCUUCUUGUCAGGACAUUUGUAGGGGUACGGGGCAAAGAUCCUGAGUUCAAGCUCCAGCACCAGGUGGUAUUUAAUAUAAAUACAAUGUCUUGUUUGUGCACGAAGCCAGGAGAGGUAGAGGGCAGUGAUUUCCAGCAACUGAUAUACAAAAUAAAACAGUUGAACAAUAUGAUGCAUCAAAACUGCUAAGGUAAUAAAAUAUAGUCACUGAUACAAGUCCACAAAGCAUGAAGAAUAUAUUGUAGUAUUUCAAAGGCUGUAAGUAUAUCUUAGCAGCUCUGUAGUGCUUUAAGUUAGUAACUUCUAGUGUUAAAUUCCUUGCGACAGCUCCGUGCAUUCACUAGCAAUGCCUGUUAAUCUUGUUAUAACUCCUUCACUGAGUCUACUGGGAGACAUGCCAAAAUCACUCUGUGUACUAAUGACAAACCAAAAAGAAAUUACCCAAUAUUUGAGUAGCCACUGCUGUAUCCUCAUGCCACAUAUUCCAAAUACUUCACUAGUGUAUUUGUGUUUCAUCCUGUGAAUGCUAUUAUAAAAUUCCGGAAUGUUUUAUUGAAGUCACCACCAUCCACCAUUUUAAGCUCAGCAGAAGUCAGUUUUGUAUUACGCCUGGAGAAGCAGACUUUUCAGAAGGUGAUUCCUUUUUGUUCUUCAGUUUCUCAAGCAAUACACAUCUUUAGACAAUUUCCUUGUCACUAUUUCAUCUUUGCAUGUUGUAGUACUUGCUAUGAGCUACUUGCUAUCUCUUAACUUUAUGCAGCCCUGGUAAAAAAAAUGUUCUGUCAGACUCUAUUCUGAGUGCUAUGGAAGCCUUUUUUCAUAUUAUACCAGUGAUCUGUCUCCCUUCCCUUGGCAUGUCUAUGGGCUACAAGCAUCACAAUGUGUUUUCUUCUGUUUUCAUGUCAAAAAUGCAACCAUAGUGUAAAAUUCCACAAUCAAAAUCUGUUUUAGAGGUGCCAAUUAUGUGCAAGUAAGAUUAUAUCUUGUUUUUAUAACUAGCUAUUUUGGAACAUGCUAUGCAAUUUAAAUUAUGUUGUCUUCUCAGUGGCACCCAAUGAUAGGACAGGGGGCAAUGAGUGCAAGCUGGAACAUAGGAGAUUCCAUGUAAAUAUGAGAAAAAAGCUUAUUCACAGCAAGAGUAAAAGAAGCCCGGAACAGGCUGCCCAGGGAGGUUAGGGGGUCUAAUUCUUUGGAGACAUUUUUUGAAUCAAUAUUUUGUGUGCUUUUGUUUCCUAGAUAUCUUCCUGUUCUCCUUCUCCUGCAGGGGAAAGUUUGUCUUCUAUAAAACUUUGCAGCUUAUUUUUUCUUCCUUGUCUUCCACAAAUAAAUUGUCAUGGAAGUACUUAGCUUAUAUCUUCUUUGCAUCUAUGACCUAUGGAGAAAAUCAUUAAUCACUUCUGACAAGCAUGAGCCUACGUUUCUGCACUGAUUACUACUUAAGAUUUUUUGAAACUACACUUGCUUUCCUAUAUCUUCAUAGUUGUGCAUUGCUGCAAUCGCGUUAUCAAAAAUCUUG